rnacentral:rRNA from 1 species
AGUGAACGCUGGCGGUAGGCCUAACACAUGCAAGUCGAACGGCAGCACAGUAAGAGCUUGCCCUUACGGGUGGCGAGUGGCGGACGGGUGAGGAAUACAUCGGAAUCUACUUUUUCGUGGGGGAUAACGUAGGGAAACUUACGCUAAUACCGCAUACGACCUACGGGUGAAAGCAGGGGAUCUUCGGACCUUGCGCGAUUGAAUGAGCCGAUGUCGGAUUAGCUAGUUGGCGGGGUAAAGGCCCACCAAGGCGACGAUCCGUAGCUGGUCUGAGAGGAUGAUCAGCCACACUGGAACUGAGACACGGUCCAGACUCUUACGGGAGGCAGCAGUGGGGAAUAUUGGACAAUGGGCGCAAGCCUGAUCCAGCCAUACCGCGUGGGUGAAGAAGGCCUUCGGGUUGUAAAGCCCUUUUGUUGGGAAAGAAAAGCAGCAGGUUAAUACCCCGCUGUUCUGACGGUACCCAAAGAAUAAGCACCGGCUAACUUCGUG